UACAGUGGUCUCAAGCGUUGUUCGGAUUCAUUGGGCGUAAAGGGUGCGUAGGCGGCGCGGUAAGUCGGGUGUGAAAUCUCGGGGCUUAACUCCGAAACUGCAUUCGAUACUACCGUGCUUGAGGACUGGAGAGGAGACUGGAAUUUACGGUGUAGCGGUGAAAUGCGUAGAUAUCGUAAGGAAGACCAGUGGCGAAGGCGGGUCUCUGGACAGUUCCUGACGCUGAGGCACGAAGGCCAGGGGAGCAAACGGG
rnacentral:rRNA from 1 species